rnacentral:rRNA from 1 species
UACGGAGGAUCCGAGCGUUAUCCGGAAUUAUUGGGUUUAAAGGGUGUGUAGGCGGCCAUUUAAGUCAGCGGUGAAAUUUUGCAGCUUAACUGUAACAGUGCCGUUGAUACUGGGGAGCUAGGAUUUGGUUGCUGUGGGUGGAAUGUGUGGUGUAGCGGUGAAAUGCUUAGAGAUCACACAGAAUAUCGAUUGCGAAGGCAGCUCACAAAGCCAAGAUUGACGCUGAGGCACGAAAGUGUGGGGAUCAAACAGGAUUA